UGCCGGCGACCGGCGGACGGGUGCGUAACGCGUAUGUAACCUACCUUUGACAGGGGGAUAACAUCGAGAAAUUGGUACUAAUACCCCAUAACAUCACCGGAGGCAUCUUCGGUGGUUGAAAACUCAGGUGGUCAGAGAUGGACAUGCGUUGUAUUAGCUAGUUGGUGAGGUAACGGCUCACCAAGGCGACGAUACAGUAGGGGGACUGAGAGGUCAACCCCCACAUUGGUACUGAGACACGGACCAAACUCCUACGGGAGGCAGCAG
rnacentral:rRNA from 1 species